rnacentral:rRNA from 1 species
CCUACGGGAGGCAGCAGUGGGGAAUCUUGCGCAAUGGGCGAAAGCCUGACGCAGCCAUGCCGCGUGAAUGAUGAAGGUCUUAGGAUUAGUAAAAUUCUUUCACCGGGGACGAUAAUGACGGUACCCGGAGAAGAAGCCCCGGCUAACUUCGUGCCAGCAGCCGCGGUAAUACGAAGGGGGCUAGCGUUGCUCGGAAUUACUGGGCGUAAAGGGCGCGUAGGCGGACAUUUAAGUCAGGGGUGAAAUCCCAGAGCUCAACUCUGGAACUGCCUUUGAUACUGGGUGUCUUGAGUGUGAGAGAGGUAUGUGGAACUCCGAGUGUAGAGGUGAAAUUCGUAGAUAUUCGGAAGAACACCAGUGGCGAAGGCGACAUACUGGCUCAUUACUGACGCUGAGGCGCGAAAGCGUGGGGAGCAAACAGGAUUAGAUACCCUGGUAGUCCACGCCGUAAACGAUGAUUGCUAGUUGUCGGGCUGCAUGCNGUCGUGCGCAGACUACGACAUAAGACACGUCCGCCGUCGGGAGGUACGGUCGACGAAGAAGUUAAACGUAACGAAAGGAAGUUAGUACGGCGUGACGACGUCGACCGACGGACGACGACGAGGGAGAGG